AAAUUAGUCAAAUUUUUCCAGUGUUCUGACUGCUAAUCUGCCAUUGACCUGACAAACAAAGAAUAAAGAUUCUUGCAAAUAAAACCCCUAAAGACUAGCAGAAUAUCACACAAACUUGUCUGCUAAUGAGAGAACUGUGAGAGAACUGUGAGAGACAGCAGAAUCAGAAAUGGAAACAGUACAGGUGAAUUCCCUCCCCUUUUACCUUUUAUUGCCAACAGGAAGGGCGUGGCCAGAGCCUGACUGGACCAAUGGAUAAUGCAGAUCAGCUGCUCCCAGUGACUAAUUAACAGCCAGUCUCCAAGACACUGAUCAACAGCUGAUCCACAUCAGCAAGCCCUACAAUCAACCAAGUCAAAGUCAAAGGAAUCUCGAACUGAGUGACCACGAAAUCGAGAAGAAAUAUCGAAACAAGCCAAAACUAAAUAACAUCCACUGAAGGAAACUAGGAUACAGAGAGGUGGCAGUUAUCUCCACAGCACCUCUGACCCAGUGCAAACUUCACAUGGCAAAUCCAGAGAGGAGGAGACAGAAGUCCAGACAAAAGGUCAGAGGUUGAGUUCGUUUCCCGAGAGAAGAAUCCGGAUCAGGGCUACACCUCCCACAAUCAAAACCCCAUGAGCUACGCAAGACCUGCCUCUUCAAUGUUAAAAUGUCCCUCAACAGUUUGCUAUGUUUUGCAAUGAUUCACCUUUAAUUCUGCAUUCCAGUGGCAUUUUAUUUUGGUUCACCUGCAAUGCUAUGUUCUGUAUAAACAUCUUGCUACAUCUCGGUACAGUUUGCACUUCAUGCUGUGGACGUACUGUGGAUGUGAGUUCAGUACAGACUGUGGGUGUAAUACAGACUAGAGGCCACAGAGACCUUGCACAUCUGCAUUUACUUCAGGGUACUGCAAGUGUUAAGAAUCAUUUAGUCUUUUACAGUUUGACACGGUGAAAUGUGUACUAAUUCUCUGUAAACCAGUGCUAGUCAUUGCAUUGCACUUUAUUCAAACAUUUUUUGUUUGUUCGUUCGUCUUUUUUUUGUUUGCUUUUUUUUUGUUUUGCUAUACAAUGUUUGACAGGCCUCAAAGUGCCUGAACUAUGUACCUGUGUGACAACAAGAGAACAAACACUGCACGUUAAUCACAGCCUCUGGCAGAGUUGCUAGCACAGCUCUCGAAUCAAAGAGCAUUUGGAAUGUUGUUAAGCCGAUCUCCGUCUUUCUUUGGUGAUGAGCAGCAAGGUGGUCCAGCGCAGGAGAAGACACGAAAUCCAGCAGGCCCUGCUAGCGUACAGCUAAUUUAUCAUCAGCAUCCUGCUAAUUCUGUUUGAGUAUACAAGGACUCACGUACUGUUUUGUGUUGCAGGGGUAUGGGUGAGGUACCUUCUCCUGAGUCACUAUACCAAGUACGGUUACCCAUGACAAUCCUAUUUAACAGAAGAGAAAUGUAUCAUAAAAUGCGGCCUUUGCUCGGGGUUAUCUGAUACUGAAGUGAACAAUGCAGAGGAAAGCGGAGUUGAGUGAGCCACAGCGCAGCAACUGCCGAUCAGCCUCAGCUCUGUCUCAGGUCCAGCCUGACUGAAGCAAUCGCCAAUCAACCUCAGCUCUGUCUCAGGUCCAGCCUGACUGAAACAAUCGCCAAUCAGCCUCAGCUCUGUCUCAGGUUCAGCCUGACUGACGCGGCUCCAGAUCAGCCUCAGCUGUGUCAGGCAGGCCAAUCGCCCUCAGCUGUUUCUCAGGUCCAGUCUGACCGAAGGGACCACCAAUCAGCCUCAGCUCUGUCUCAGGUCCAGCCGUAAAUUCAACCACGGGACUAGUCAAAGUCAUAGCUUUUGUCUCGUCUUAUGAUUCAUUUCAAAUGAGGAUCAAUCCUUCUCUAUGCUGAAAUAAGAAAAAAAAGAUGAAGAAAGCAGACUGCUCAAUUAAGAUUUUGGAAGAAUGGAAAGCGUGGCUUUUAAGUAUAACUUU